CAGCAGCCGCGGGAAUACGAAGGGUGCAAGCGUUAAUCGGAAUUACUGGGCGUAAAGCGUGCGUAGGCGGUGAGUUAAGUCUGCUGUGAAAUCCCCGGGCUCAACCUGGGAAUGGCAGUGGAUACUGGCUCGCUAGAGUGUGUCAGAGGAUGGUGGAAUUCCCGGUGUAGCGGUGAAAUGCGUAGAGAUCGGGAGGAACAUCAGUGGCGAAGGCGGCCAUCUGGGACAACACUGACGCUGAGGCACGAAAGCGUGGGGGGCAAACAGGAUUAGAUACCCCCGUAGUCCCUGUCUCUUAUAC
rnacentral:rRNA from 1 species